UACGAAGGGUGCUAGCGUUGCUCGGAAUUACUGGGCGUAAAGCGCGCGUAGGCGGACCUGCAAGUCGGGGGUGAAAGCCCGAGGCUCAACCUCGGAACUGCCUUCGAUACUGCGGGUCUCGAGUCCGGGAGAGGUGAGUGGAAUUCCUAGUGUAGAGGUGAAAUUCGUAGAUAUUAGGAAGAACACCAGUGGCGAAGGCGGCUCACUGGCCCGGUACUGACGCUGAGGCGCGAAAGCGUGGGGAGCAAACAGG
rnacentral:rRNA from 1 species